CACCUCUAUACUGCCCGUUUAGUGCAAUGCUCUUAGCUACAACGGUUCCUAAAACGAGGAAGAUUACCCCUCUAUCUUGGCUGGUCCGACAUUCGCAAAACAACAAAUAGGAUCAGUCAAGGUGUAGGCAUGGUGGGAAGUUCCUAUGAGAAAACUCGUGUUGAUUCCUCAACUUAACUCGGGUGGUUGUGGCUCCCUACAUUU
rnacentral:snoRNA from 1 species